rnacentral:lncRNA from 1 species
CAUACUUCUGCCUAUAAAUAAAGAUCCACGGAGGAUGUCAAGGUAUGAUUUCUUUUUUCUAUAUGCUCAUUCUUUCUCUUUGUUGUUUAGAUUUCUGACCUGAGCGUCGGAGGAUCUCUAUUGGAGCCACCUCCGAUCAGAUACUCUUCUUAUAGAUCUUGACAUUGCAGGAACCUCGCCGACGUACUGUCAUGUUCAACUUCAGUUAAUCCA